UGCAGUCGGACGGGAUUUGAGACUUCGGUUUUGAUGAGAGUGGCGCACGGGUGCGUAACGCGUAUGCAACCUACCUAUUACAGGGGGAUAGCCCGGGGAAACUCGGAUUAAUACCCCAUAGUAUAUUUGAAUGGCAUCAUUUAGAUAUUAAAGAUUUAUCGGUAAUAGAUGGGCAUGCGUAGGAUUAGCUAGUUGGUAAGGUAACGGCUUACCAAGGCUACGAUCCUUAGGGGUUCUGAGAGGAAGGUCCCCCACACUGGUACUGAGAUACGGACCAGACUCCUACGGGAGGCAGCAGUAGGGAAUAUUGGGCAAUGGACGGAAGUCUGACCCAGCCAUGCCGCGUGCAGGAAGACGGCCUUAUGGGUUGUAAACUGCUUUUAUCAGGGAAGAAAAAGGCCAUGCGUGGCAAAUUGCCGGUACCUGAUGAAUAAGCACCGGCUAACUCCGUGCCAGCAGCCGCGGUAAUACGGAGGGUGCAAGCGUUGUCCGGAUUUAUUGGGUUUAAAGGGUGCGUAGGCGGGUUAAUAAGUCAGCGGUGAAAGUCCAGUGCUCAACACUGGAAUUGCCAUUGAUACUGUUAAUCUUGAGUGUCGAUGGGGUACAUGGAAUUUAUGGUGUAGCGGUGAAAUGCAUAGAUACCAUAAGGAACACCGA
rnacentral:rRNA from 1 species